rnacentral:snRNA from 1 species
AUUGUUUCUUGGCCUUUUGGCUAAGAUCAAUGUAGUAUCUGUUCUUAUCAGUUUAAUACUGAUAUGGCCUCUACCUGAGGAAAAUAUAUUAAAUGGAUUUUUGGAGAAAGGAGAUGGAAUAGGAGCUUUCUCUGUCCACUCCACUUAUUGGUCUGGAUUGCAGUACCUCCAGGAACAGUGCACCAAAA